rnacentral:misc_RNA from 1 species
CCGUCAAUUCAUUUGAGUUUCACACUUGCGUGCAUACUCCCCAGGCGGAGGACUCACUGCGUUAACUGCAGCACUGGGUCUUCCCCAACACUUGGUCCUCAUCGUUUACGGCGUGGACUACUAGGGUAUCUAAUCCUAUUUGCUCCCCACGCUUUCGUGCCUCAGCGUCAGUCAACAGGCCAGGCGGCCGCCUUCGCCACUGGUGUUCUUCCAUAUAUCUACGCAUUUUACCGCUACACAUGGAGUUCCACCGCCCUCUCCUGCUCUCUAGCCCGCCAGUUUCCAGAGCCUGUACCGGUUGAGCCGGUACCUUUCACUCCAGACUUAGCAGGCCGCCUACGCACCCUUUACGCCCAAUCAUUCCGGAUAACGCUCGCCACCUACGUAUUACCGCGGCGGC